CAGUCGCCGCGGGAAUACGUAGGUGGCAAGCGUUGUCCGGAAUUAUUGGGCGUAAAGCGCGCGCAGGCGGCCUAUCCAGUCUGUCUUAAAAGUUCGGGGCUCAACCCCGUGAUGGGAUGGAAACUAGUAGGCUAGAGUAUCGGAGAGGAAAGCGGAAUUCCUAGUGUAGCGGUGAAAUGCGUAGAUAUUAGGAAGAACACCAGUGGCGAAGGCGGCUUUCUGGACGAAAACUGACGCUGAGGCGCGAAAGCCAGGGGAGCGAACGGGAUUAGAGACCCCUGUAGUCCCUGUCUCUUAUACC
rnacentral:rRNA from 1 species